rnacentral:tRNA from 1 species
CAGAGAAUAAUUUAAAUAUCUAAUAAAAAUUUAAACUUUGGGAGUUUAAUUUGGCAUAUAUGUCUUCUCUGA